UUUGAUGAUUGGGGUUAGGGUUUGAAACAGAGGGAUUUAGGGAUUUUGUUGUUUGAUUUGUUGUUUUGAUGGUUGAUUGGGGUUUAAGAGGUUACGAUUGGGGGUUUAAGGGUUGUUUGAUAGGUUUAUGGGCAAGUUUAGGAUGGUUAUAGGUUUAGGGUUGUAUGUGGAAGAUGAAGAUUCAUAUUCAUCAUGACGAAUACGAUGAAGAUUUGGGUUUUGGGUUGCGAAAGGUAAUUAGGGUUCAUCA
rnacentral:lncRNA from 1 species